UAAGAGCCUGGAGUUUGCCUGCUCUGUCA
rnacentral:piRNA from 1 species